rnacentral:rRNA from 1 species
CCUACGGGAGGCAGCAGUGGGGGAUAUUGCACAAUGGGGGAAACCCUGAUGCAGCGACGCCGCGUGGGUGAUGACGCGCCUCGGCGUGUUAAGCCCUGUCAGCAGGGAAGAAAAUGACGGUACCUGAAGAAGAAGCCCCGGCUAACUACGUGCCAGUAGCCGCGGUAACACGUAGGGGGCAAGCGUUAUCCGGAUUUACUGGGUGUAAAGGGGGCGUAGACGGGGUUGUAAGCCAGUAGUGAAAGCCCGGGGCCCAACCCCGGGACUGCUCUUGAAACUGCGAGGCUAGAGUGCAGGAGGGGCAGGCGGAAUUCCUGGUGUAGCGGUGAAAUGCGUAGAUAUCAGGAGGAACACCGGUUGCGAAGGCGGCCUGCUGGACUGCAACUGACGUUGAGGCCCGAAAGCGUGGGGAGCAAACAGGAUUAGAUACCCGUGUAGUC